rnacentral:rRNA from 1 species
CCCUUAGAUGUUCUGGGCCGCACGCGCGCUACACUGAUCGAUUCAACGAGUUUUAUAAUUUUUUGUUAAAAAUUUAUAUAUCCUUUGUCGGAAGGCAUGGGUAAUCUUUUAAAUGUCGAUCGUGAUGGGGCUAGAUUCUUGCAAUUUUUGGUCUUCAACGAGGAAUUCCUAGUAAACGCAAGUCAUCAACUUGCAUUGAUUACGUCCCUGCCCUUUGUACACACCGCCCGUCGCACCUACCGAUUGAAUGGUCCGGUGAAGCCUCCGGAUUGGCGCGCACCUCGGUGCCGCCGAGAAGUUGGCUAAACCUUACCAUUUAGAGGAAGGUGAAGUCGUAACA